UACGGAGGGGGGCUAGCGUUGUUCGGAAUUACUGGGCGUAAAGCGCACGUAGGCGGCUUUGUAAGUUAGAGGUGAAAGCCCAGGGCUCAACCCUGGAAUUGCCUUUAAGACUGCAUCGCUUGAACAUCGGAGAGGUAAGUGGAAUUCCGAGUGUAGAGGUGAAAUUCGUAGAUAUUCGGAAGAACACCAGUGGCGAAGGCGACUUACUGGACGAUUGUUGACGCUGAGGUGCGAAAGCGUGGGGAGCGAACAGG
rnacentral:rRNA from 1 species